ACCUUGCGGUGAUGAGUUGCAUGUUGUCCGUGUUUCACCUGAUAAGCAAUGAUUAUACACAUGCACUGAGCAGGCU
rnacentral:snoRNA from 1 species